rnacentral:piRNA from 1 species
UAGAAUGCAUCCAAGGAAGUAGAUCAAUUU